AUGGCUUCUUUGCCUUUUGGCUAAGAUCAAGUGUAGUAUCUGUUCUUGUUAGUUUAAUACCUAACAUCACCCGUGCCCUGGGACUACUCACAAAAGACCUCUUUUUGGCUUCCCUAUUAAUAUUAUGGAUUAAUUUCUGCAGUGAGAAAUUGUUGGGCAGAACAAGAUAGCUGGCUCAGCCAGCUCUC